GUUUUGUGGUUGUAGUCAGUUGCAGUGUCCUAGACUGCAGUCAGUUCAAUUAAAUUUGCUUCACCAACCUUUUUCCUUACUAAGUUACUAUUCAUAUAUUCUCUCAUACAUUGUCCCCAAUUUUUGUUGUACUCUCCAGAAAUUCAAGGGCACAAUUUCUAUUGUGUAUGGAGCCAGAGGAAGAAAGGCCAUCAUUUUUCAAGGUCCUUAUUGGCGACUUCUCCCAGCAACUGAACUUUAAUAGUUGUGUACCGUCCAUCAGUGGCCUUAGAGGCCCUUGUGGAACAUGCUGGACUGUAAAUCUGAAAGAGAUCGAGAAAUCUAUUAUGAAAAAUGCAAUGAAGCUUGAGAUGUUGGUGAUCAAUCAGUUUGGAAAAACUUAUAUGGAUGGAGUGUUUAGGGAUGUUACCAAUCAGCAUAUAUACUCCAAACUCUAUGCCUGAACAUCCAUCUUGGAAGAAGAACGCGAAAGAUUAUGGGAAGAAGAACGCAGGGGAGUGGUCCAAGAAAAAUUAAGGAAAAUAAAGACUGAUGUACAAAUUAUAAUUCUGUAACAGUUGUCCGUUAAAAAAAUAAAGGCUUCUUGUUCUGUUGUUUAUCCAUGGUUGUAACCUUAUAUUUGUUGAUGUAUUCAAUGUAAUAUUAGUGUACAUGGAUUGUUUGACUUGUAGCUGAUGUCUAAAUUGAGCAUUUA